AGAAGAAGCUCACUGCCGUGCCGCUCCCUCUGCUAGAAAAGCUCGAAUCCUAUGAGGUGGCUCCCAAAUCCUGGUCCGAGGUGAGCAAAGUUCUUGAAGACCUCAAACCCACGCUCAACUCCGAGCCUCCUCCUGCUGCAGCCAAGCCCCACCAUGCUCCUCCUCCGCCAGAUCCCAAGAAGCCGCCAUCAGCACCAUCAAAGAACAACUCCUUCCACACACUCGAAGAGCUCGAGAGCCACACGAAGAAGCCUUCGCCGCGGCCGUCCUCUCCUCCACGAGCGAGCUCGCCCGCCCGCCCGCAGCCGCCCGAGAUGGCUGGCUUCCGCUCCGUGAAAGAGAACAGCUUCAUCGUCCGCGACAGAGAGGAGAGGCAGAGGCAGAAGGCCGGCGGGGACGUGGCUGCCAAAUUGCCGUGGUGGCGCCGCGACCCGCUCGAUGGGUACCCCGAGCGCUGCCCCCCGGGAAACGCCGACGGCGUCGUGCUCUACACCACGACGCUGAGAGGUGUCCGUCGGACGUUCGAGGACUGUGAGCAGGCGCGACGGGUACUCGAGGGCCAGGCGCUGGACUUCGGCGUGGCGGUCGACGAACGAGACGUGUCGCUCCACGGGGAGUUCUUGAGGGAGGUCAGGGAGCUGGUGGGCGAGGAGCUGGCGGUGCCGCGGCUCUUCAUAAGGGGCAGGUACGUGGGCGGGGUGGACGAGGUGGUGGAGCUCAGCGAGACGGGGAAACUGAGGGAGAUGCUGCGGUGGGUGGCACGGAGGGUAGGAGACGGGUCGGGGAAGGGAGGGAAGAAAGACUGCGAGUGCUGCGGCGGGGCAAGGUUCAUUCCAUGUAUGGAGUGCAACGGGAGCUGCAAGGUGGUGGGGGAGGACGGGAAGAGCGUGGAGAGGUGUGAAGAGUGCAACGAGAACGGGCUGAUGCUUUGCCCUCUCUGCCAUUAGAAGACGUCAAAGGUCGGAUGGAGAAUUGCAGCACGCAGUUUGC
rnacentral:lncRNA from 1 species